ACGCUCCGGAAGCGGCACGUCAAUAUAAAAUAUAUUACCAGCAAGUAUGCGGCCUGUGGGGUGGGCAACACAGCAACAAAGAAGGUCAAGCGGAAAGUCAGAGAGGCUGAAUUAAUCUCAUGGGUGGCGGCAAUGGAAAAGAAACCUGCCAUGAGUAACUACUUAAGAGGAAAAAACGAAAUUAGGAAAAAAACCAUUUAUGAUAACUCAAAGGGAAGCUCAUUACUUUUCGAAGCGAGAUCGGGAUGCCUUAGAACACGCACCUAUAAAGCGAGAUAUAAGAAGGAAGAAGAAGCAUGUGCUUGCUGCGGUAAAGCUAGGGAAACGACGGAGCAUAUUUUAUUAGAAUGUGAAGACGUGUACCCAGCGGUCGAUUUAGGCACCACUGGCCUCCUUGAAGCCCUUGGGUUCAGCGGGAGCAGUGGUAAAGCAAACAGGUCCGCAAUAGACAUCAGUAAGAGGCGAUUGGAAGAUUGGUGGAAGAAAAGUAGGGAAACGACAAAAGACGGAGACGUACAAAAGCACAGUUCGCAAUAGGGGAUCAGAAAAUUUGGACGUGGUAGUUCAUAGUGUUUUUUUUUUCUUCAUUGGUUAACCUAGGUAGGAUAUUAGGCAGCAUAGUAGCAAGAGCUUGGUGGCGCAAGCCACCGCCCCGUUCCAAAGGGGACUCUCAUAACAUCCAUCCAUCUAUCCAUACAAAGGGUAUAGCCGCCAUCUACUCAUCCAUCCAUCCAUUUAUCGAUUCAAAUUGUACGGCGGUUACAUUUGCGAACGGGGUGGUCGUUUACUUUGUGCAGCAUCACGGAGGUUCGUCUUAAUUAGCCAACAAUAUCAUCUCAGCCAGUUUAAGCAUCCAACAUUCGAUAGCCGCUACCAGAGGAUCGUGUUUAAAGACUGAAUUUUAUCAGCUGCGGCGUUUCACUGGCGUAAUGGGUACAUACACGGCUUCUGUCGUCAGUGGUCUGCCGCGUCCAGCCGCGUAAUGACGGGUUGCUUGUAAAAAACGUGCUAGCCAGCGUGAAAACUCGUCGCUGGAACCGAGCAGUCUGUCUGGAAACUACCCAAGAAAGCGGAUUAACCUUGUAGCUUCUGGGUGUGUGCACCGCCUCCAAGAUGCUGCUCAUAUUUGAUCACCACUUUGGACUCUAUUGUCUCUGGACGUACAAGUCACCAGUGAAUGUGUCAUCACAGAGGCAGAAUCCUUGCAAGAAGGAGGGACAAAAGAGAGAUUAUUGGUUUGCAAGCUGCCCAUGCCAAGCCAUAAGAAGCUCAACGGACACCAUAAUGACAACAGGUCCUCUUGAACUACGUGCCUCACCAUGAAAUGUUUGCAAGUUUACCAGAUAGAGGGCUGUGAGCCCUAUCAGGAAAGCAACAGUCUACAGUUUUGUAUCGUACCAAGCGGGAAUGCUAGAAUUUGACAUACAAGCUUGCUUGAUUUUAAGGGCAUUUUAUGACAAUCGGAGAAGUAAUAAGUUGAGUCCCAAUUUGUUUCUUUUCUCGUCAUGUAGCAAGCUCCUACUUGGUAAUGCACAAAUUCUGUCAUUUGCUAUUUGAAAGUCAGAUUGACGGGCAUUACCGACAAGUAUCACAUGCUCCUUCAUAGCGUUAAUUUGUUACAUGAAUCUGGAAAGAAUUUUAAAGCCUUCAAAACUGCUCAGUGCAAUUUUGAGGAAAUGAUGCUUCAUGCUCAUCGAAACUCUGGCAGUCACUCCUCACUUUAUUAUUCUAUUUUUCAUUUAAAGUAUGCUCAGGGCCGUAUGCCAUUAAAGAGGGGAGUGGUUACAAAGCAGUAGAGUAAAACAAACAAACAAGAGCACUGAGUUUUGUUAAUACAAUGAUUCUCCUGAUUAUACAACAUUAGUUAAUGUAUUGCAAAAAAAGUUUGUUAUCGGUGAUGGCUACGAUACUUCAGAGAAAGGUGGUUCCAUUCCUGAGAUGUACGGAGGAGGAAAGAUUGAAAGGAAGACUUCGUGUAGCAAGAAACAAUCCCUGCGUUACUGCGAUGAUCGAUGCAGUUUGAAAUGUACUUGAGGCCGUGGUAUGAAGUCGUCAUGAAGUGUGGUAUGACGGAAAAUUUUAUGAAAUAGCAAAACAUGGCGACUAGCUAGGGGAAUAAGUGCUGGUUAGCUUCAUUAAGGUUAUACUCGUAGUACAGUUAUAAUUAGGAAGAAUGAUACGAGCAGAGUUAUUUUGUAGUAGUUCAAGAAGUAGUAAGCCUAACGCGACUUGGAUCCCAUAUUGCAGAUGCAUAUUCAAGUUUUAAGCAUAUUAGCAUUUUGUAAAGUGUAGUUUUAAAGUAGACAGCGCUUUGGAAAAGUUGCACUAUAAGUACCCGAGCAGGUGAAUUGCAUUGUUAAUGACAUACUCUAUAUUGGCCCAAUUUAAUUUAUUUGUAAUGUGUACACCAAUAUAUUUAUAGGACAUGAUGAAAUCUAAGGGAGCAUUGUUAAGAUGGUAAGUGAUAGGGUUAGCAUUAGAUCUGGAUAUUGCAUUUUUCAUUUGCAAAAAUCAGUAACUAGGCUAACCCUGCUCCGUAAGAAAUGGCUAGAACAGGUAACUUCACACAACUGGCCUACUCCACACUUCUCAAACAUGACGAACCAAUAAAAUAAAUUUUUCUUUCUCUUCAAACCGCAGAUGACAUACCUGAGGACAGUGUGCUUGUUUUCAAAAAGUUUUUGAAAUAUACUCGAAGUUUAUAUAUACUCGAAGCCUCAGCGUGGGAACUUAUCUUCGUUACGGCCCUCACAAAUAUGUUUGAUUGUUGAAACGUUGGCUGCAGGCUGAGGCUUCCCUUGCUCACCUCUGUUACUCAACUGAAGUGUUCAUCUCCUUGCAACUUUUUUGCAUUGUUUGAACACGCAAACCGAGAUGUUUUUUCAACAUGAAACUGUAAAUUGCAUUUUACAAGGAUCCGUGAGCAUUAAUACGGCAUACUUAUAUGUUUAUUUAGUGUCCUGUUUACACACAAUAUUGACAGAGGUCCUUGUAAGCACUGUCGUCUCCAUAACGUUCCUCGCCUUCCUAAGAGUACUCCACUGGUGACAAAGCCUUUACUGCUGCAGCUGAACAUCAGCUGAACGGCAGUAGAAAUAUCAAGAACACAUAAUAUGUGAUCUAAAAUUUAGCAUAACGUUUUUUCCCUUUAGACAUCGCGCCUAUCGCCAAUAUGUUAUGAAAACAAUGUGACAUUGCAGCUCGAGCUUACCUUACUGACAGUACAUCUUUACCGAGAACUUACGUUUCUUUUUUUAAUGUAGCUGAAAUCGUCGAAUGCAGACAACAUACGUAUAGUAUGAAACACGUCUAACAGCACUGUACGGAACACAAGUACGAGUGUAGCCGAGCACAAUAUCGUUGUUGCUUUAGCGGCACGCCGAGCACGAUGAGAUUUCUCCCCAUUUCAGCUUUCGAUUCCGUUAAAUAGAUUACUAUCUGUGUUUCUGUAUGUUGUAAACUCAGUAACUGACAGCAUUAGCUCCACCUGACCUGUACGAAAAUUUUGAUGAUGUACUGCUUCAUUCACGAUGGUCAAUGAACAAUGUAAGCUUA